GUCACUUUAACUUUUGAUUGGGCUGAUGUACUGUCAAUCAAAUCCGGACCGAGUUGGACGAUGAUGUGAAACCUUUACGAGCAAAAUGUUCAUUCACGAGCUGUGUAAGUAACUAUGAAAAUAAUCCAGAAAAUCAACGAAACUUCCAACGAUAAUAUCAUUGAAUGUAAAAGGACACAAUGAAGGAAACUGUAAGCUACCGUAUGUGGACAAACAUGCAGACAAUUCAGUGUACUUGCCUUAUGGUUAAAAACAAAAGAAAACUUUUACUAAUACACGUAUUUCGAUUGUAUGUUUGCAUUUAUUGUUGGCAAGAAGUUGUUAUGUUGUAAAAGAUUUUGUUUUCGUUCAGUAAAAUGGAAGAGUAGGUGGAAAUACGACAGUUGUGAACACACGUUAAGAAUUCCGACCUUUCGAGAAGCACGUGAAUCAACACGGACUCUGCUACGUGAUUGACAGGCCCCGCCCACUUUCCUUUAACUUUUAAAAGCUAGUUUGACAUUUUUAAAAGUUAGCAAGUUAGCAUUUGUGUGUUUGUAUAGUGUAAUUAUGUAAGAGUUAAUUCACCAUCGUUGUGGCUUUACUUUAUAGUUUUAGCAGAUUAUUAUUGCAAACUUAUAGGCUACUUCCUUGCUUUCAUUACUGCAAACAGGUGGUAAAUACCUUGAUUUAUGUCUGUAUAAACAGUGCAGCCCUAGUUAGAAUAUGUACAGGCUGCAGUUUCUAAUAGUAGUAAAAUGGUGUGUUCAGUGGGAUUUUGUGCUUCAAGAUAAACAUUUUCUUUAUUUUGUUUGUCCACCAGCACUGAUGCUGUAACGUGCCAAGUAAAGCAGUGAGAAGGAGAGCUUGGCAUCCUCAACCAUCCUGUCUCUCACUGCCUAAAAUGGAAAAGCUUUAAUUCAGAGCAACAUUUGGCUUUCCAUCUCAGGGUCUGGGCCCUAUCACUAGUUAUAGACAGGUCCCUUAAUGCUUUUACUCUUGUCUAUAAACCAAAGAGUACAGGUGUCCUUCAGCUGGAGGCCCAUGAUGAGUCUUUUUUAACCUGUACAUGAUAUUUUAAGAAUCAUUUAAGAUAAAGAAUAAACUUUAAUCUUUGUAUUUCACAUCAAGAUUAUAUUGUUUUUUCAUAGCUGUGCAUGAUAAGGUAAUCUUCUCAAUUCUCAGGGCUGGAGGGCAAACCAGAAAAAGACGGAUUUCAGGAAAUGGAGCACUGGGAGACGAGGUAUGUGGGUCACCUUAUGUUUUGCAUCCGUAAUCACCUCUUUUUUUGCAGCACCAGGGGGAGAUGAAGAGCUUAAAAAAAGCCCUGAACUAGAGAGGGAUGAAAAGAACCUGCUGAAUGUUCCAGACUCUGCUUUCUCUGUCCUCCAGUCAUGAGACCAGGAUGUAGGUCAGAGAUGCUUUCAAGAGCAGCUGCUGCUGAGACUACAAACACAUACCUGAGGAAUAUGCAUGCACUCCUACCAAUGUAGGUAACCCUUGGUAUAAAGUAUUAGAGUAACAGGGGUCAAAGUUCAUAAAGUAUGUUAUGGUUUAAAUUAGUAACAUUUACAGUAGUUGUAAAGUUCCUCAGUUACACAUUAAAGCUUUUGUGAGUAAUUUUGAAAGAUGAGAGGAUUAAUCUAGAUUUUGAAACAUGGGGAUAAAUGUUAAAGCCACCUCCCCUAAACAAUGACCAUACACUGCCUCUGUGAGUAUGGAUCCUCACUGACAUAGUUCAGAAUAUCAAACGGCAUUUAUUAGUCAUUCUUGUGCAGUAAGCUUUGAAGCUCUAGUGAAAAACUGAUGUGUAAAUAUAUCACAGGAAGGCAGAGUGCGCAGGUGGACCGCAGGUAAACAGGGAGGUAUAGAGGCAGAGUGAGGAGAUUAUCAGGCAUCUGAAAAUCAAUUGGUUAUUAUUUUACCUUCAUCCCUGAAAUCUGACAAAGAUAUCCACUUUCUUGUAAUAUCAUUUUUAAACAAGACUGUUACUCACUGCAGAUUGCUUUUCUGAGAGAAUCUCAGGCUGAUAUAGUCAACUAAAAACUCACCGGAGUAUUCUAACUACUUGCUGUAGUGGCCUAAAAGGUUAAUUGCACAAACAUUUCAUGUUAUAAUAAAAAAUCAGCAAGUGCAAAAAAAGAAUUUAGUGUAAAAUGUAAUAAAAAAUAUCAUAUUUGUGUGUUAAAUACUUUUUUUGCUUUGCGAAACAUUUUUUUUAGGUAAAAGUAUUUUUCAUUUUCUAACUUUUAAAUUACAUAAACUGUCUUCUGCAUUUUAUGGAAUAUUUUUAAAUGUUUUAUGAAAUAUUUUCUUUUUUGGAAAAGUGUUAUUUUUUUUAGUUUUUCAUUUAUACUUUAAAUUUUAUGCUAUAUUUUUUUACAUUUUGUUAAAAAGGUCUUGUGAAUUUAAGGAAAUAUUGUUUUGCUUUUUGCUUUUUGUAUAUCAUGAAAUAUGUUUUUACACUUUGGGAAAUUCUUGUUGUGUUUUUUGAUAUCUUUGACUGUUUCUUGAAUAUCUUUUGUUUCUUGAAAUGUUUGUACAGUUGACCUUUCAGGGCCACCGUACAUGGUGUAUGCUGUAAACAUAACAUGAAGCAAAUAAGAAAAUAACCUAAAUACAUUUUUAAAAAGUCUGUUUGUUU
rnacentral:lncRNA from 1 species